rnacentral:rRNA from 2 species
GGUGACCUGCGGAAGGAUCAUUG